UUCCGGAUCCAAGUUUUACUUUUAUGUCAAUUAAUUAUGAUUUGCACCGGCCACUGAGGAGGAUCUUGUGUGUGUGUGUGUGUGUGUGUGUGUGUGUGUGUGUGUGUGUGUGUGUGUGUGUGUCACUGUGAUACGUGCCUGUGUAUUUGACCUCCUGCUUGCAACCAAUAAAUGGACUUUUUGCAACUUUGAUCAUUCAUCAAGACUCUGUUUUAUCAGACAAAUCAUUCUCUUCUACCGAGCUUUUAUUGAAAUAUUCCACAACAAUUUGGCGUCACGAACAGGAUUCGCUGACCGUCCGUCGGGCUCCGGGGGACCGUCCGGGGAAAAAGGCCUUUUCCAGGAUCACCAGCUGAUGAUCCUGCCUCAUACCUCCUUAGACAAGAGAGAAAGGACCGGCGGAAACCAGAGGAGUCCUGAUCGACGUCACGUGAAUCCAGCGAAGAAGAAUUAAUUUCUACAAACUUGGGUCCUCUGCCAUGUCACCUCUCAGCCCAGGCAGCCGAGCUCAUCGCUCUGACCGAGGCCUGUAAACUGGCUACGGGUAAAACAGUCACAGUACCAGCAGUGGGCUCAGGCGACCCUACCCCCACAACAAGUGUCAAUCAACCGACACCACCGUUGCAGUGACCACGGACGGGCAGUUGACCGACAGACACACAGUGCAUUGUGAUCUGUGUUGACUGUCUACAACGCGGAUGCCUCACAAGAAAGAAGGUUGGCAGACUCCACAUCCCAACGUGUACCUGCGGACCAACACAAGAAGAACACGGCCAGGACCCCUUCACAUAGACACAGUAGUCGUUUGUGUCACUACGGUUUUAUUCAUAUUAUUGCUUGCUUCAGUUUCAUUAUCUAUCUAUAUUUCUGUGAUUCUGUAGUCCGCUACCUGAGUGUUUUUCUCUUAUCAUGGCGCGACAACGCCCAUGGAACUUUCUCACGAGGCCAGAGGGAACUCGUUCCCACAUUUUUAUUUUCUUAUGUUUCUGUGUUCAUUACUGGUGUUCUAUAUUUUAUGUUUUACACUUGCUUGCUAAACAACACGAGACAUGGUCUCACAAAAACAUAUUUUUUUGCAAUAUUAUGUGUGAUUAAAGAAUAAUCAAGAGUGGAAUGUGAUGGUAAAAUAUGUUAUAACAUUGUUUGGUGCUAAAGCCGUGUCUCAAGUGUCUGUAUUUGACCCUGAUGUGCAAAAAGCAGCAUGAUACAAAAUGUUGCUUUGCAGCUGUGCCCUGAGAAGGGAGGACGGUCGGCUCGAUCUCAUAGAAGCUUCAAAACAAAGGACUCCUCUUCAUGGCCUUGGUUCAUAUCUUAUUCGGUACGAUAGUUCCGGAUACACGUUUUACUUUAUGUCAAUUAAUAAUGAUUUGCACCGGCCACUGAGGAGGAUCUUGUGUGUGUGUGUGUGUGUGCUGCCCUCAGCUUCACCUGGGUUCUUAUCUCAACCUGCUUUGCAGAUUCUCGUAGCUGGCACGGAGAAUGUCCUUAGCAAUAAAUGGACUUUUUGC
ensembl:lncRNA